GACGAACGCUGGCGGCGUGCUUAACACAUGCAAGUCGAACGGAAAGGCCCUGCUUUUGUGGGGUGCUCGAGUGGCGAACGGGUGAGUAACACGUGAGUAACCUGCCCUUGAUUUUGGGAUAACUUCAGGAAACUGGGGCUAAUACCGGAUAGGAGCUCCUGCUGCAUGGUGGGGGUUGGAAAGUUUCGGCGGUUGGGGAUGGACUCGCGGCUUAUCAGCUUGUUGGUGGGGUAGUGGCUUACCAAGGCUUUGACGGGUAGCCGGCCUGAGAGGGUGACUGGCCACAUUGGGACUGAGAUACGGCCCAGACUCCUACGGGAGGCAGCAGUGGGGAAUAUUGCACAAUGGGCGGAAGCCUGAUGCAGCAACGCCGCGUGCGGGAUGACGGCCUUCGGGUUGUAAACCGCUUUCGCCUGUGACGAAGCGUGAGUGACGGUAAUGGGUAAAGAAGCACCGGCUAACUACGUG
rnacentral:rRNA from 1 species